UUCUGUUUUGCUGCUGGCCACUUAUUUACUCAUUUUUACUUUUGUUUGUGUCUUAGUUAGGGUUUCUAUUCCUAUAAAGAAACACCAUGACCAUGGCAACUCUUAUAACAGAAAACAUUUAAUGGGGUGGCUUACAGUUUCAUAAUCGUCAUGGUGGGACAUGGUGGCAUGCAGGCAGACAUAGUACUGGAGCUGAGCGUCCUACAUUCUUGAUCCAAAGGCAACAGGAAGUAAAUUGACUUACUAGGCAUGGCUUGAGCAUAUAUGAGACCUCAAAGCCUGCCUCAACAGUGACACAGUACCUCCAAGGCCAUACCUACUCCAACAAAGCCACAUCUCUUUAAUAGUGCCACUCCCUUUGGGGGCUAUUUUCUUUUAAACCACCAGUUUGUUUUAUUGUUUUGUUUUUUUAUGACAGGGUCUCAUGUAGCCCAGUGAAGGAAGCCCUGAGUGUGUGAUGUGCGAAGUGGGUACACGCUAUUGACUUGAGACAGCCAUUCAAGGACAAAGCCUCAGACCCAUGGGAAAUUGGCAAAGCCUCACUGUCCCCAUCCCCUCAAUAAGGCUCAGAGCAGUGGCAAUGCCAUCCUCUGUUCCUGUAUGAAUGUUGACAGUGUGUGCAGAAAAUGUCCACCAUAGCUUUCUCUACCCGGAUGUUUAUGGCCUGGAGACAGCUCCCCUACAGAGACUACUCCCACGGAGAAUAACUAAACCUGCCUCCUUGUUCAUCUGUGUAUAACAACCCCACUUCCUUGUUCAGCUAUAUAGAAUAACAUCGCCUCUGUCCACCCCUAUGUAAUAAACACACGAGAGCCCAGUCCACCCUAUUCUAGCUUUCCUGUACAUAUGUCUGUCAUUUCUUCACUCCCUUGUUGCCCCAGUCAGAGUUCUAGGAUCCAAGCUGUGUCAACCCACAGGCUGGCCUCAAACUCACUAAUGCAGCUGAGGAUGACUUAUUUUUAUUAUCAGCUCGACACAAGCUGGUGUCAUCUGGGAAGAGGGAGCCUCAAGUGGCAAAAUACUUUCAUCAGACUGGCCUGUGGAUAAGUCCGUGGGAGCAUUUUCUUGAUUAAUGACUGAUGUGGGAGGGACCACCUCUGGGCAGGUGGGUCCUGGGUUAUAAAAGAAAGCAGGCUGAGCAAGCCCUGGGAAGCCAACCAGUACGUUCUCUGUUUCAGUUCCUGCACCCAGGUUCCAGUCCCGACUCCCCUAGGUGAUGGACUGUGCUGUGGAAGUGUAAGAUGAAAUAAACCCUUCCUACCCAAGUGGCUUUUGGUCAUGGUGUUUAUGGCAGCAAUAUAAAGCAAACUAGAGGAAUGUGCAAGGCCCCUUGCCAAUGCCACGCACAAGCCGAUGCCACGCACAAGCCGAUGCCAUGCACGAGCCAAUGCCACGCAUGGUAUUUCCCUUGCACACCCCUCACUGUAACACUAGCAGGUAGAGCACAAGUUAGCAUCUCCAUCUAGGAUGGAAUUAACAACUGAAGUCGGAGCACGGGACACAGAAAUAAGCCGGUAAGAAAACAAAACACAGAAAGUACCUGUAGUGAGCAGCCAAUCGACAGCAGAACCAGGAUUUGCUCCUGGAGUCUGCAGCCUUUACGACAUGCUGCUGCUCUCAUACGCUGAUCUUUAACUCACAGACACAAACUUCAUUUUCAAGGUCCUAGAGAACUGCCAUGUAUUUACCAUCCCCACCACAAACCAGCUACAGCAUAAGUAAAAGAUGCCAUGCAAGUAUCCCAGUUUUUCCACUCUAUGUUCAACACCAUCUUCAGCUAGUGCCACACUUCACAGAUAAAUCGUUUUAUUUUUGCAAUGCUAAGGACUGAACUCAGGGCCCUGAGCAUGCUAGGUAAGUAUGCAGCUGGACUCAUUCUUCCUCACUGCCUUUCUUCCCAGAGGUCCCGGGUACCCAGGGCUUGCUCCUGCCCGGGCCGUACCUAUAAAGGCUGCCAGAGAGCAGGCCCUUGGGCCUCGUCACUGCUCCCCACUGUGGGAUAGUUCCUUUGAAGGUAGAGGACAAAGGUUUAUCUUUUUUUUUUUUUGAGCUGAGGAUCGAACCCAGGGCCUUGCGCUUGCUAGGCAAGCACUCUACCACUGAGCUAAAUCCCCAAGCCCAGGUUUAUCUUCUUACAUGACCCCACAAACAACUUCCCCAAACCCAGUGUCUGGAGCCCAUUCCUCCCCGCCACCUACGGGAACCGCAGCCUGCUAGGGGAAGAAUGUGGGAAAGCGGAAGUGCAGGAAAGGCCACGCUUACGUCACAUCUCUGGCAACUCUUUCAAUGACUCUCAUUUCCUUUGCCAGCGAUGUGUCCGUGGUGACACAAGGAGGGACAAAAAGCCCAGCAGUCCCUGAAGUCCCUUACCGUGAGAUGUCACAGGGUAUCAUAAAGGAAAUAAUUGCACAGAUCGAAAACUCCAAGAGAAGUGUCAGAGGAAAAUGAAAGCUGAUGGGAACUGAUCAGUAUUCUUCGAGGGUGAGGAAGACAGGUCUCAGAGCCAUCCAGGGAAAGAUCUGAACUAUGAGCAGAAGCUAAUUAGGCAAAAAGAGGAGGAGUUGGUAUGCCAGGCCCAGGGGGCAGAAUAAUACAAGCCUUGUCAGCAGGGAAGGAGGCCCUGGACACACGACACUGUGGAAGAGAGUAGAGUACAGUAUGUGCAGAUUUUUUUUUUCAACACUGGGGAUUAACUGGAGCCUUGUGCAUGCUAGGCAAACACUCUACCACUGAGCUGCAUCCUCAACCCCUAUUUUUUUUAAAUGUGUUUAUGAGAGUUGGGUGUAUCGAAAGAAUGUGUACCACGUGUGUGCAGUACCAGAGAGGACCAGCAGAGGGUGCCAGAACCCCUAGAACCGGAGUUACAGACGUUUGUGAGUUACCAUGUGGGUGCUGGGAACUGAACUCAGGGGCUUCUGCAAGUGUUCUUAACUUCCAAGCCAUCUCUCCAGUUCCCAGAUUUUUUUUGUUUUAAAGAUUUAUUUUACCUUUUUUCUUUUUUUUUUUUUUAAAUUUUGAGACAGGGUUUCUCUGUCUAACAGCUCUGGCUGUCCUAGAACACAACACACUAUGUAGACCAGGUUGGCCUUGAACUCAGAGAUCCACCUGCCUCUGCCUCCCGAGUGCUGGGAUUAAAGGUAUGCGUCACCACAGCCUGGACUUUUUAUUUUUAAUUAUGUGUGUGGGUAUGGGCAUGUGAAUACGGUGCCUGGGGAGGACGCAGAUGUUAGAUCCCCUGGGACUGGAGUUGCAGACAGUUGGGAGCUCCCCCUCAGACAGCUUGUGUGUCACACACUCUAGCUGCUCUGGAGAGAAUGAGUGGCUUGGGAGGUAGGAGAGUGGCAGGGGAGACUGACAGCUUGUGGGUGAGUGAUGAUGACAGGGUGGGAUGGGCAGGGAGAAUGAGAAACAGAACUCAGCGAACACAUUCAUAAAAAGUAUAAGCUAGGGCUAAAACUGAGAGGCCUGGGCCGGAGACGACUCAGAGGCUGAGAGCAUGGCCAGCUUCUCCAGAGGACCCGCAUUCAGCUCCCAGGGCCACAUCAGGUGUCCCACAAUCACCUUUAACUCCAACUCCAAGGGAUCUAACACCUUUGUCUGGCCUCUGACGGCAUCCCCACACAUGUGGCACACACACACACACAUAUAAACACAAAUAAUAAAAAUAAACCUUGGGCCAGGCAUGGUGGUGGACACCCUUAAUUCCAGCACUUGGGAGGCAGAGACAACCUGGUCUACAGAGCGAGUUCCAGAACAGUCAGGGCUACAUAAGGAGACCAAGUCUCAAAACUAAUUAAAUCUAAAAAAGGAAGAGAGAAAGAAAGAAAGAAAAGUUAAUACCUUAAAAAAAAAAAAAAGACAAAGCUGACGGGCUGGGUCGUGAAGAACGAGGCAGAGUUAUCAAAGACUCUCCACUGGUGACUUAGGCGGGUGAUGGAGCGUGCCGUCCAUCUGUUGGGGAAUAUUAUUUUAAGGGGUGUUACUUUUGUUGAUGUUGCAUUUGUUUAACUCUGUGAAGCUGUGUUACUGUGCCUGUCUAGAACACCUGAUGGUCUAUAAAGAGCCGAACGGCCAAUAGCGAGGUUGGAGAAUGGGUGGGACUGGCAGGCUAAAGAAUUAACAGAAGGAGAGAUCUGGGAGAGGAGAGAUCUGGGAACAAGAGGAGGAGGAGGACAUCAGGGGCCAGCCACCCAGCUACACAACCAGUGGGAAAAGGGUCCUUUUGGGAAGCAGAAAGACCUAAAUUCAAAUGUCAGUCACCUAUGAGCUACAAAGGGUUAUUCACCCCUGUAACACCAGGAAGAUCAGUCAUUCAGUCAGUCAUCUUUAGCUACCUAGAAGGUGCCAGGCCUGCUGGGCAUGGUGCUGCAUGCCUUUAAUCCCAACACUCUGGUGGCAGAAGACCCAUGUCUGUGAGUUCAAGGCUAGCUUGAUCCACACAUAGUGAAUUUCAGGCCAGCCAGAGCUACAUAGUGAGACCCUCAAAUUAAAAAAAAAAAAAAAGUUUCAGGCCAACCUGAGCUAUAUGAGGCCUGUCUAAAAAAUUUAAGUAGUUAAUUUUAAAAGUGGGAUGUGUAGCUUAGUGGUAUGUGGAUGGGUAGCAUGUGUUUAGUAUAAAUGAGGUUCUGCGCACAUGUACACACACACACACACACACACACACACACACACACACACACACACACGUCAACUAUAUGACCUGAGGCAAGCUUUUCUUCCAGACCUUUCUGUUUGAGUGUAAAGUAGAGGUGACCGUGAGUGCUGAAUCAGAUGAGAAAGCUCUUAGUACAGCGUCUACAAAUGUCAACCCCUGUCCCUGUCCCCUCCACCUCUUCAAUGCUGCCUGGACAGUGGCAGCGGGCCUUCUCACGUCACAAAGAGCAGAGCAGGACAAGGCACACUGCUGGUCACAUACGGCCACAGCCCAGAGUCUCAUGGGGAAGAGGGAGGUCCAGGUGUCUGUCCUUCCUUCCUGUCAUGCAGGCUCCAGGCGGCAUCCAACAGCCGGCAUCCAACAGCCAGCUUCGGUGACCUGCCUGCUUGUUUCCUCGGAGAUAAACUGGAUAAACAAUCUCUCUGGAGAUGGCACAGCCAGCACCCACAGUGAACAGCAGGGGGCGGAGUUGCUCUACAACCUGCCACCCUGGGGCCCACAGCAGCGAGAGGUGACUGCAAGGACUCUUGCACUUGGGAGGGCUAGACGACUUCAAGGUUAUCCGAACUAGCAGUGUGUGUGCACAUUACAGAAGCAGAAGUGAGGCUAAAUGACGUGCCCAUGAUUCAGCAAUGUCAGGACACCAGAGCAGAAGCCUGGGUUCAGAGCCCAGACAGGCGGCUAACUGGCCGUGCGACUUUAGCAGAGGGCACCAGAUCUCAUUAGAGAUGGUUGUGAGUCACCAUGUUGUUGCUGGGAAUUGAACUCAGGACCUCUGGAAGAGCAGCCAGUGCUCUCAACCUCUGAGGCAUCUCUCCAGCCCAUGCACCGGAAAACUGUGCAGGGGCCACACAGUACAGUGGUGAAGGAAGGAGAGCGGAAGUACUUACCGGAAGCAGGAGCUGUGCCAGGCCUCGCUGGUCGUCC